UAGCGAAGGGGGCUAGCGUUGCUCGGAAUCACUGGGCGUAAAGGGCGCGUAGGCGGCCAUUCAAGUCGGAGGUGAAAGCCCAGGGCUCAACCCUGGAAUUGCCUUCGAUACUGUCUGGCUAGAGACCGGAAGAGGUAAGUGGAACUGCGAGUGUAAGAGGUGAAAUUCGUAGAUAAUUCGCAAGAACACCAGUGGCGAAGGCGGCUUACUGGUCCGGUCGACGCUGAGGCGCG
rnacentral:rRNA from 1 species